UCAGAUCAAAAAAAAAGAAUCCGAAGAAAAAGAGGCCUGCAACAAGCAUUGACCGACACCUGAUCAAUGUCGAUCGACAGUGAAUCACAAGUAUCGAUCUCUACUUUACUAUGUCGAUCGACGCUAACAUCAGAAGGCAUGUAUGACACUUUACUGUGUCGAUCGACACUAACGUCAGAAAGCAUGUAUGACCGUCUUUCCUUAUUAAGUUUUUCUUUAUGAUUUAUUUUUUCACCAAUCUUAGACUGUAUAACACUAAGGAAUUUUUUUUUUUAUGUAUGGGAGAGGUAGUUACUGAUAUUGUAUUUUAUUUUGAUUUUUAGUGUCAAUUUAAUUUUUUAUUGAGUCAAAAAGGGGAUGAUGAAUUUUUUCAAUUCUCCUUAUUAUCUAAUUACUCUCUAGCGUCAUUCUUAGAUUUACUAAUUGCAUAGUGUACUGAAUGGAAACAUCAUAAGUGGAGAUAACGUACCAGUAACAUCCAUCCUUUCCGAGAAUGUCUGAAUGAACCAAAGUUCACUUCCAACCUUAAUCAACAACGAUCGCAUGUUUUUUGUUCGGGUUUGGUAUACACGGGAAUAUAUAGAUAUUAUGACUAAUUGUUGUGUCAAAAUGGUUAGUCACAAUAUAGUGACGACUUGUUGACCAAUUUGUGACAAAAUUAUUAUGUAGCAAAAUAGUUACUAUUUGGUCACAGUUUUGUGACAAAAUUAAAAGUAACAAAAAAUUGUUACAAAUAAUUACAAAUUAGUGACGAAAAAUUCAGUCGUAAAUGUUGUUAUUGAUUAUGCGGCCAAAAGAUGUCACUAAUUUAUAUGAUUUCUACUUUCUUAAAAAAUUAUUUAAUUUCUGUUCUUAAAAUGACGACAUCAACUUGUAUGGAAGUGAGACAACUUCAUCACAUUUUGUGACUUUUAAUUACAAUUAGUUUAGUUAUAAUGAAAACAGGUGAGUUUCUACUGUAUAUACUUUCAGACGUAAAGACGAAAAAACAAAAACAUAAAAACCAUUUGCUCUUUGCUUCAGCCUGCAAUAUUUUGAACUCUCUUGUCUUCAGCCUACACUUUUCCUUGAUCAUUUUCAAGAAAGUACAUUCUAGUAUACAAUCGCCUCUAUUUCGUGGCUUGAAAGAGACUAACUCUUAAACUUUUUUUUUUGGUUUAAUAUAACUCUAAACUAUUCAUGCUUAUAUAUUUUGAUAAGCUGUUGUUUGAGACAUUGGAAGCAAUUCCAGUCAAGGCGUUAUGCUUUCAUAAGCUUGUUAGAGCUGGUACUUCAAGUAGUGAUUUCCUUUCUUGUAUUGUUCAAUGAUAUUUGCUUCAUAUCAGACAUAUAAAGCGCUGUCCAUAAACGAAUCCAUACAUCAUCUCGAGUCUAAUCAAAGCCAGAUACUGGAGGUCGUUUUUUCAAUAGAUCGGUUGCUCUUCAUCACCGAGUUGGAGGCACGAGGCUCAGGCUCAUCCCUUUUACAGAAGAUCUCGAGCUUGGAGCGGUGGAACGACGUUUUCUAGGCUGAAGAGAAGAGGGGCGGUGGUUACUGGUGGUCGGAGUUAUCUUGGGGUCGAGACGAACACGGCGCCUUUCGUCUAAACCCGAGUGAACUUGGACGGCUCUGCUCCUUCGAAGACGUGAACAGAGUCCAUCGGGGCUGUCGUGUGGUAGUCAGAUUGGCUCUAGUAUGGCAUGUUCUUUGCCUCCCUGCUGCCGUAAAGACAACCUUGUCCACGAAUCUUUGUCCACACAACCUUAAGUGACAACAUCGUUUUCUCCGUCGUUGUCUUGUCCAUGGAUGACUUCAAGAGAUGUAACAAUCAAAGGUUGAAGACGGGACUGUUUGACGAAACAAAACAGAGUCUCCCCUGUCACCCUCAUGGUUGUGGAGCCUCUCAAUUCUGCAAUUCAGAUUUAUUAAUGAUAGUGAGGAAGACGUUUGUUGUUGGAGAAGGACAAGACAUCAAGAAGGAGCUUGUUGUUGCUGGAGGGAUUAUCCUUUUCUUCACAAGGAAGAACUUCAAUAUCAGGAAGAAACGAUCACGUACGGUAAUUAAAAAGAUAGUUUCUUAUCAGUUAUGUGAUUAGCUUUUGUUUUCGAAGUUGGAACCUUUAGUCGUGUGGUGUUUGAUUGGGUACGUAUGUGUUGAUGUUCUUUAUCAAAGCUUAAAGAUUUUAUCGUUUGGGGAGAUGAAACGUGUGUGUUGCUUGAUGUGUCUUUUCUAAUUUAAGAGCUUUUGUCUUA